rnacentral:rRNA from 1 species
GAUGGACGCUGGCGGCGUGCCUAAUACAUGCAAGUCGAGCGAACGGACGAGAAGCUUGCUUCUCUGAUGUUAGCGGCGGACGGGUGAGUAACACGUGGAUAACCUACCUAUAAGACUGGGAUAACUUCGGGAAACCGGAGCUAAUACCGGAUAAUAUUUUGAACCGCAUGGUUCAAAAGUGAAAGACGGUCUUGCUGUCACUUAUAGAUGGAUCCGCGCUGCAUUAGCUAGUUGGUACGGUAACGGCUUACCAAGGCAACGAUGCAUAGCCGACGUGAGAGAGGGAUCGGCCACACUGGAAGGGGGCCACGGUCCAGACUCCUACGGGAGGCAGCAGUAGGGAAUCUGCCGCAAUGGGCGAAAGUCUGACGGAGCAGCGCCGAGUGAGUGAUGAAGGUCUUCGGAUCGUAAAGCUCUGUUAUUAGGGAAGAACAUAUGUGUAAGUAACUGUGCACAUCUUGACGGUACCUAGUCAGAAAGCCACGGCUAACUACGUG